rnacentral:rRNA from 1 species
GUGGGGAAUAUUGCGCAAUGGGCGAAAGCCUGACGCAGCCACGCCGCGUGAGCGAUGAAGGUCUUCGGAUCGUAAAGCUCUGUGGGGGGAGAAGAAGAAAGUCGGUGAAGAGCCGAUCCUGACGGUAUCCCCUUAGCAAGCACCGGCUAACUCCGUGCCAGCAGCCGCGGUAAUACGGAGGGUGCAAACGUUGCUCGGAAUCAUUGGGCGUAAAGCGCGCGUAGGCGGCUGAACAAGUUGGAUGUGAAAGCCCUGGGCUCAACCUAGGAUGUGCAUUCAAAACUGUUCGGCUUGAAUCUCGGAGGGGGUCAGAGAAUUCUCGGUGUAGAGGUGAAAUUCGUAGAUAUCGGGAGGAACACCAGUGGCGAAGGCGCUGACCUGGACGAUGAUUGACGCUGAGGCGCGAAAGCGUGGGGAGCAAACAGGAUUAGAUACCCGAGUAGUCC